GCCCGGUUAGUCAAGUUGGCUAAGACGAGUGACUCUCAAUCACUAGGCGGCAGUUCAAUCCUGCCACCGGGUA
rnacentral:tRNA from 1 species